rnacentral:rRNA from 1 species
GACGAACGCUGGCGGCGUGCCUAACACAUGCAAGUCGAACGGAAAGGCCCUGCUUUUGUGGGGAGCUCGAGUGGCAAACGUGUGAGUAACACGUGAGUAUCCUGCCCAUGACUUUGGGAUAACUUCAGGCAACUGCGGCUACUACCGGAUAGGAGCUCCUGCUGCUUGGUGGGGGUUGGAAAGUUUCGUCGGUUGGGGAUGGGCUCGCGGCUUAUCAGCUUGUUGGUGGGGUAGUGGCCUACCAAGGCUUUGAUGGGUAGUCGGCCUGAGAGCGUGACCGGCCACAUUGGGACUGAGGUACGGCCCAGACUCCUACGGGGGACAGCAGUGGGGAAUAUUGCACAAUGGGCGGAAGCCUGUUGCAGCAACGCCGCGUGCGGGAUGACGGCUAUCGGGUUGUGAACCGCUUUCGCCUGUGACGAUGCGUGAGUGACGGUAAUGGGUAAAGAAGCACCGGCUAACUACGUG